CCUACGGGAGGCAGCAGUGAGGAAUAUUGGUCAAUGGACGAGAGUCUGAACCAGCCAAGUAGCGUGAAGGAUGACUGCCCUAUGGGUUGUAAACUUCUUUUAUAUGGGAAUAAAACGUUCCACGUGUGGGAUUUUGUAUGUACCAUAUGAAUAAGGAACGGCUAACUCCGUGCCAGCAGCCGCGGUAAUACGGAGGAUCCGAGCGUUAUCCGGAUUUAUUGGGUUGAAAGGGAGCGUAGGUGGAUUGUUAAGUCAGUUGUGAAAGUUUGCGGCUCAACCGUAAAAUUGCAGUUGAAACUGGCAGUCUAGAGUACAGUAGAGGUGGGCGGAAUUCGUGGUGUAGCGGUGAAAUGCUUAGAGAUCACGAAGAACUCCGAUUGCGAAGGCAGUUCACUGGACUGCAACUGACACUGAGGCUCGAAAGUGUGGGUAUCAAACAGGAUUAGAUACCCUUGUAGUC
rnacentral:rRNA from 1 species